rnacentral:rRNA from 1 species
UACGUAGGGUGCGAACGUUAUUCGGAAUUACUGGGCGUAAAGCGUGCGCAGGCGGUGAUGUAAGACAGAUGUGAAAUCCCCGGGCUCAACCUGGGACCUGCAUUUGUGACUGCAUCGCUGGAGUACGGCAGAGGGGGAUGGAAUUCCGCGUGUAGCAGUGAAAUGCGUAGAUAUGCGGAGGAACACCGAUGGCGAAGGCAAUCCCCUGGGCCUGUACUGACGCUCAUGCACGAAAGCGUGGGGAGCAAACAGG